AAGAAGGUGCUUGUUUCUUCUUUGCCUUCUGCCAUGAUUGCCAUGUGAAUCGCACCCCUGGAACUGUGCAGGGCCCACCUGUGUGGCCACACGCAGUGACCCUGAGCAAAGGAGUGACCACAGAAGUGCAUGGCAAAGCAGAAAGGUGUGACGUCUUGGAGGACGCGGGAGGAAAGCACGCCCAGCGGACAGGAGCCAUCACGCGGCUGCGGGCUGCUGCUGAGAACCUGGCGUGGGCCACCGUCGUCAGCAGCGUGGAGGUAACUGACGACCUUGGCCAAGAAGUUGGGUGGCAGCGUGGAGGUCAUGCUCAGAGAACGCAUAUGCUGCCUCCUUUCUGAUAGGGAGACCCACCCACCUGUUCACCUCUCUGCAUGUGGUCUGCGAGCGGGCUUGGAGCCACAUCUGAAGCCUCACCUCUAGGAGCCAGUUUUGUCUCCUCCUCGUCCCUGCUUCUUAUCAGUCGUGCGGCUGGAUGGCAGAGGUGAUAAAGCUGGGAAGAGAGGCAUCCUGGAAGGGCCCGUGUUAUGAAAACCCAGAGUUUCACUCAGAUCGACAGCUGCGUGGGGGCCGGCGCUCCCGGCAGUGAUUGAGUUACCCUCAGCAGCGGGGUCCCGAGGUCGCAAUCCCUGCUGGGGGAGUGAUUGAUGCCGGACUCCAGGGCCCACCUUGGGUGACCCUGGGAUGUCAAUGAGUGACCGCUGAUUCUGGGCCACUUGGUUCUGGGCCACCCGCAUGUCCAGAGACCUCAAGGUGGGCCGACGUCCAACCAGCGAAGCAGAGCAAUCCUUUUGGAAGCUUCUCUCCACGGGGGGCUGGCUGCUCCUUCAUCACUCCCAUCUGAGGGCUUCUGCUUGCAGCCGUCUGUCACGCUGAGCAGCUCUGUGGUGGAUUCUGUGCUGCUUGCUCUGUGUCUAUUUUGUCAAGAUCGCCAGUCUCUCUGGAUUCUCUCCUCUGGGUUGGCCCACGCUCACUCAUCCGGCUUUGGAAGGACAUUUAUCCUCUAGCUUCCUCCAGGAGGGGGAUUUGUCUUAGAGAGUGGCACUUUCUCUUCCCUCCCCAGCCCCUCGUGCACCUUCUGCAGGGAGGGGAGUCCCCUGGUGCUGAGAGGAGAGGUAGGAGAGCCAGGUUCCUCAAUGUGAAGACGACAACGAUGAAGAUCUUUAUGGCUGGGUUCAGUUUUGGUGUCUCAACACCCGUAAUCUUAGCACUUUGGGAGGCCAAGGUGGAUGGAUGGCUUGAGCCCAAGAGUUUGAGACCAGCUUGAGCAAUGUAGUGAAACCCUAUCUCUACAAAAAACUAGCAGGGCGUGUGCCUGUAGUCCCAGUUACUCGGGAGGCUGAGGUGGGAGGACCUGAGCCCAGGGAGAUUGAGGCUGCAGUGAGCCCUGAUUGCGCCACUGCACUCCAGCCUGGGAGUGCGGUCUCAAAGAAAACCCAGUCUCAAGAAACAAAACAAAACAACCCAAAAAAGAUCUUAAGAUGAUCCACUUCUGCUUAAUGAUCAGUGAAUAUUUUUCCUUAUGAUUUUCUUAAUAACAUUUUCUUUUCUCUAGCUUACUUUAUUGUAAGAAUAUAGUAUAUACUUAUAAAACAGAUAAAAUUUGUGUUAACUGACUGUUUAUGGUAUUGGUAAGGCUUCCGGUCAACAGUAGGCUGUUAGUAAUUAAGUUUUGGGGGAGUCAAAAGUGUAAAGCAAUACACUUUAUGGGGGCAGAGCUCCUAACCCCAGUGCUGUUCAAGGGUCAAUCUAAUUGAACAGCCUCUAAAAAUAUCAAGCAAUACUUACAAAUCCAGGGAGAAAAACAUACAUCAACAAUUGUAGUUGGAGCUUUUAAUGAUCGAACAGAGAAAACAGAUACUGAAGUCUUGAUCAAUACAAUGAGUAAGCUGAAGAUAUGAGAUAUGUAGAGAACUUACCAUUCAUCAGACAGAGGCUAUGCCUUUCCCCCAUGCACGCACACACCAUUUACCAAAAUAGGCCAGACACUGAGCCAUGAAGGAAGUCUCAAUAAAGUUCUAAUAAUUAAUACAAAAUAAACUGCAUUCUCUAAUCACAAAUCAAUGACAUUAAAAUUAACAAAACAAUUUUUUUUAACAACUCCAAUAUUUUGGAAAGUAAUUAAUAUAUUUAUGGAUAGCCCUUGGAAAUGAUCAAGGAAAUUAGGAAGUACAUAGAGUGUAACACGGUGAAACCCCGUCUCUACUAAAAAUACAAAAAAAUUAACUGGGCGUGGUGGUG
rnacentral:lncRNA from 10 species